UCUUAAAAUCAUUGAUACAAUGGUUCUUGAGAUAACGUAAGGGAUAAAAAUGAUAGUACCUUACUAUAAGUGUUGUCCAACUAUACUGGUGCCAGAAGACUCGGUAACGCCAGAAACGCAAACGUUAGUCGUCUUAAUCAGGCGUAAAGGGUAAGUAGGCUGCUUUGAAAGUUUGUUAAUUAAAAAGCUCUUUUUUAAAGUAAUUAAUAAUGAAUUAAAGCUAGAAUCAAAUAGGGGAUAAGCCAAAUAAUAUUUAGUGUAAGGCUAAUAUCUUUAGAUACUAAAUGGAAUACUAAGGUUAAAACUUUUAUCUAUUAAUGAUUGACGCUGAGGAACGAAGGUGAGAAUAGAAAACAGGAUUAGAGACCCAGGUAUCUCUCACUGUCAACGAUGAAUGGUAGUUGUUAGUUAAACUUAAUUAGUAACGA
rnacentral:rRNA from 1 species